AGUGAACGCUGGCGGUAGGCCUAACACAUGCAAGUCGAACGGCAGCACAGGAGAGCUUGCUCUCUGGGUGGCGAGUGGCGGACGGGUGAGGAAUACAUCGGAAUCUACUCUGUCGUGGGGGAUAACGUAGGGAAACUUACGCUAAUACCGCAUACGACCUACGGGUGAAAGCAGGGGACCUUCGGGCCUUGCGCGAUGGAAUGAGCCGAUGUCGGAUUAGCCAGUUGGCGGGGUAAAGGCCCACCAAGGCGGCGAUCCGUAGCUGGUCUGAGAGGCUGAUCAGCCACACUGGACCUGAGACACGGGACAGACUCCUACGGGAGGCAGCAGUGGGGAAUAUUGGACAAUGGGCGCAAGCCUGAUCCAGCCAUACCGCGUGGGUGAAGAAGGCCUUCGGGUUGUAAAGCCCUUUUGUUGGGAAAGAAAUCCAGCUGGCUAAUACCCGGUUGGGAUGACGGUACCCAAAGAAUAAGCACCGGCUAACUUCGUGCCAGCAGCCGCAGUAA
rnacentral:rRNA from 1 species